UGGUCUAGUGGUUAGGAUUCGGC
rnacentral:piRNA from 5 species